UGAGUACGAGAUGCUACGGCAUCGAAGCAGUCUAUGUCAUACUUCCAAGAAAAGCUUGCACUGUCAUAAACAAAGAAUGCCUGUACCAUAACCGACACAGGUGGGUAGGUAGAGUAUACUAAGGGGCGCGAGAUAACUCUCUCUAAGGAACUCGGCAAAAUGACUCCGUAACUUCGGGAGAAGGAGUGCCUUAUUUCUACGGUUGCAAUAACAAGAUCCAAGCAACUGUUUACCAAAAACACAGGUCUCCGCUAAGUCGUAAGACGAUGUAUGGGGGCUGACGCCUGCCCAGUGCCAGAAGGUUAAAGAAGUUGGUUAGCAUUAGCGAAGCUGAUAACUGAAGCCCUGGUGAACGGCGGCCGUAACUAUAACGGUCCUAAGGUAGCGAAAUUCCUUGUCGGGUAAGUUCCGACCCGCACGAAAGGCGUAAUGAUUUGGAUACUGUCUCGGAGAGGGGCUCGGUGAAAUAGACUUGUCUGUGAAGAUGCGGACUACCUGCACCUGGACAGAAAGACCCUAUGAAGCUUUACUGUAACUUGAGAUUGAAAUUGGACUUUAUUUGCGCAGUAUAGGUGGGAGGCGUUGAGAAUAAUCUUGCGGGAUUGUUGGAGCCAUCAGUGAGAUACCACUCUUGUAAUGUUAGAUUUCUAACUUUGUAUCAUUAUCUGGUCAAAGAACAGUUUCAGGCGGGCAGUUUGACUGGGGCGGUCGCCUCCCAAAGGGUAACGGAGGCGCACAAAGGUUUCCUCUGAACGGGUAGAAAUCGUAUCUAGAGUGUAAAGGCAUAAGGAAGCUUGACUGUGAGACCUACAAGUCGAGCAGGGACGAAAGUCGGUCUUAGUGAUCUGACGGUGCUGAGUGGAAAGGCCGUCACUCAACGGAUAAAAGUUACUCUAGGAUAACAGGCUGAUCUCCCCCAAGAGUUCACAUCGACGGGGAGGUUUGGCACCUCGAUGUCGGCUCAUCGCAUCCUGGGGCGGUAGUCCGUCCCAAGGGUUGGGCUGUUCGCCCAUGAAAGCGGUACGCGAGCUGGGUUCAGAACGUCGUGAGACAGUUCGGUCCAUAUCCGGUGUAGGCGUUAGAAUAUUGAGAGGAGCCUUCUCUAGUACGAGAGGACCGAGAAGGACAUACCUCUGGUGUACCAGUUAUCGUGCCAACGGUAAACGCUGGGUAGCUAUGUAUGGAGUGGAUAACCGCUGAAAGCAUCUAAGUGGGAAGCCCACCUCAAGAUAAGUAUUCUCAUC
rnacentral:rRNA from 1 species